AAUAAGGGCGUAUGGGGGAUGCCUUGGCUCUCAGAGAUGACGAAGGACGUGAUAAGCUGCGAAAAGCUACGGGGAGGUGCAAAUAACCUUUGAUCCGUAGAUGUCCGAAUGGGGCAACCUGGCUGGUUGAAGACCAGUCGUGCGCAAGCACAGCAACCCGGAGAACUGAAACAUCUAAGUACCCGGAGGAAGAGAAAACAAUAGUGAUUCCGCAAGUAGUGGCGAGCGAACGCGGAUUAGCCCAAACCUCAUGGCAAUAGUUAUGGGGGGUUGUAGGACUGAUAAAUUAAUUAUCUGCGAAGUGGAAGUUGUUUGGAAAACAACACCGUAGAGGGUGAAAGUCCCGUACACGCAGUUCGAUAAUUAGAGUCAGUAUCCUGAGUAGGGCGGGGCCAGUGGAACCCUGUCUGAAUCUGCCGGUACCAUCCGGUAAGGCUAAAUACUCCUGAGAGACCGAUAGUGAACCAGUACUGUGAAGGAAAGGUGAAAAGAACCCCAAGCAGGGGAGUGAAAAGAACCUGAAACCAUACGCCUACAAGCGGUCGAAGCCCUUCGGGGUGACGGCGUGCCUUUUGCAUAAUGAGCCUACGAGUUACUCUUCCCUAGCAAGUUUAAGGACUUCAGGUCCGUUAAGCGAAGCGAAAGCGAGUCUGAAUAGGGCGUCAAGCUAGUGGAGGUAGACGCGAAACCUGGUGAUCUACCCAUGGGCAGGUUGAAGUUCCGAUAGUCUCGGAAUGGAGGACCGAACCGGUACAUGUUGAAAAAUGUUCGGAUGACCUGUGGGUAGGGGUGAAAGGCUAAUCAAACCAGGAGAUAGCUCGUACUCCCCGAAAUGCAUUUAGGUGCAGCGUUGAGGUAGAGUAUCAUGGAGGUAGAGCUACCAAUAGGGCUAGGGGGCUUCACCGCCUACCAACCCCUGAUGAACUCCGAAUGCCAUGAUAUAUACUCAGCAGUGAGGCUGUGGGUGCUAAGGUCCGCAGCCAAAAGGGAAAGAACCCAGACCAUCAGCUAAGGUCCCCAAGUGUGGGCUAAGUUGAAUGAACGAGGUGGGGAUGCUAUGACAGCUAGGAUGUUGGCUUGGAAGCAGCCAUUCAUUUAAAGAGUGCGUAACAGCUCACUAGUCGAGCGUUCCUGCGCGGAAAAUAAUCGGGCAUUAAGUCCACCACCGAAGCUAUGGACCACGCCUUUGGCGUGGUGGUAGGGGAGCAUUCUAGUGCCGUAGAAGGUUUGCUGUGAGGCAAGCUGGAGGAGCUAGAAAAGCAAAUGUAGGCAUGAGUAACGAUAAAUGAGGUAAGAAACCUCAUCGCCGUAAGACUAAGGUUUCCGUGUUCGAUGUUAAUCAGAACCGGGUUAGUCGGGACCUAAGGCGUAGCCGAAAGGCGAAGUUAAUGGAAAACGGGUUAAUAUUCCCGUACCUGCUAUACACUAAAAAGGGGACGGAGAGUGGAAUUGGGUGCGCACCGACGGAUGUGCGUUGAAGCCUUCGGGCGAUAGUACACUAAUUGCCUUGCAUGCAGUGAUAAUCCCAUGAAAGCUCUUCCAAGAAAAGCCGAAGUAUAGCAGCUCGUACCGUAAACCGACACAGGUAGUCGAGGAGAGUAUCCUCAGGCGCUCGAGUGAUUCACGGCUAAGGAACUAGGCAAAAUCGACGCGUAACUUCGGGAGAAGCGUCGCUCCCCUUGUGGGAGCCGCAGUGAAAAGGCCCAGGCGACUGUUUAGCAAAAACACAGGACUCUGCCAACUCGAAAGAUGAAGUAUAGGGUCUGACACCUGCCCGGUGCUGGAAGGUUAAGGAAGGUACUUAGAUUUCGGUCGAAGGUAUUAACUGAAGCCCCAGUAAACGGCGGCCGUAACAAUAACGGUCCUAAGGUAGCGAAAUUCCUUGUCGGGUAAGUUCCGACCUGCACGAAUGGUGUAACGAUCUGGGCACUGUCUCAGCCGUGAGCUCGGUGAAAUUGAAGUAUCGGUGAAGAUGCCGAUUACCCGCAACGGG
rnacentral:rRNA from 1 species